GCCGGGUGUGGUGGCGCACACCUAUAAUCCCAGUGACUCAGGAAGCUGAGGUAGGAGGAUCCAAGUCUGAGCCCAGCCAGGGUGAUUUACUAAGACCCUGUAUCACUGGGGAUGUAGCUCAGUGGGUUCAAUCCUGGGUUCAAGCCCCUGGAUCCAAUCCCUCAU
rnacentral:sRNA from 1 species